UGUAUAUUCCCCUCCAAAGGAGAAUUCAGCUAGGUGUUUAAAUUGUACUUGUUUUGUUUUUGAAAUAAAUUGAUAGACUGUCCUGGCAUUAGGUAGACAAAGCAUAAAUUCUGUUUGCAAUCAGCUCUAAAUAUUCCUGAACUUACAUAUCUUUGCUUCCUGUGCUUUACUACUUUGUUCCCUCAUUCAAUUAUGAGUCUGGGUGACCUUGGUACUUUCUCUGUUUAUUAUACAGGAACUUUCUCAAGACUACAGAGAAUAAAAUCCUCAAGCCAAAUUUUUUAUUUGGCAUGAAACCUUCUCCCCUACUUCCUUUUGCAAGCUAACCUCAAUAUUGUAGGUGACACCUGGCUGCGGCAAAAUUGCUUCCUUUUUCUCUUGAUCCCAGGCUAUUGGUGUCCAUGUAUGAAAGGUGUGUGGCAGCGGCAGGAGAGGAGAGGGAGCUGGUAGGGAUGGAGCCCUCGUGUGUGGAGAAGAGAAACAAGAUUAACCUCAUUCCUAGAGAGUAUGUGUGCCUCUUCACCACAAAAAGAAAAAUCAGUUCAUUGAUUAGAACAGGAGAGAAGUUCACCACAACACUGGAGACAGAAGAUACAAAGACAAGUCUUCCUAGAGCUCUGGGGUCCUGGCCUGAACCCAACCACUUGCCACUAUCCUUCUGACCCACCCAUUAGUCUCAUCAUUCUGGUCAUUCUCCUUUAGCUCAUAUCAGCCCUUUGUUCACUGUUUUGCUUGUAAAUCUGAGAAGUG
rnacentral:lncRNA from 1 species